rnacentral:rRNA from 1 species
UACGAAGGGGGCUAGCGUUGCUCGGAAUCACUGGGCGUAAAGCGCACGUAGGCGGCUUUUUAAGUCAGGGGUGAAAUCCUGGAGCUCAACUCCAGAACUGCCUUUGAUACUGAGAAGCUUGAGUCCGGGAGAGGUGAGUGGAACUGCGAGUGUAGAGGUGAAAUUCGUAGAUAUUCGCAAGAACACCAGUGGCGAAGGCGGCUCACUGGCCCGAUACUGACGCUGAGGCACGAAAGCGUAGGGAGCAAACAGG